UUACCUUUUUACAACCCCAAAAGUGAAAUCUUGAAAAGGGGUGUAAUGGUAGUUGAAUUAACAUCACCACAAACAUUAAACUCCAACAAGAAACCAAACAAGCUAAGAUCUAUUAGAUUUCCAAGACUGUCUUUCUUGAGAAGAACAUCCUCAAAUUGCUCAAAAAAAUCUAAGUUUUCUUGUCUAUCCAUUGUUCCAACAAGUAAUAACUCAACCCCAGAGCAACUAAGUCCAAUCAAAAUGCCAGAUUUAUCACCAAAUUAUAUGAAGAUUACAACUAGCUAUGAUGCAAAGAAAGGAAGUAAUUCUCAGAGAGGUAUUGGAUCAGUAGAUGUAAAUUCAAUUGAUUCAUCUGAAUUUUGUACACCAAAAAAGGAUGACAAAAUCAAGAACAGACCAGUAAUGAAAAAAAUAAUGAAGAAUUUUGGUAGUACAAGGUCAUUUAGAAGAAGGUCAUCAAGAUCAAUAACAACAAUGAAGAAUCAUAAUACUCGAAAUCCAUCUUCAGUUGAGUUUUCAGAAUUAUCAUCAUCACCAUCACCACAUUACAGAAAAUCAACUUGUUGUUCUCAAGGUAAAAAUUGUUUACAUCAUAGUUGUGAAUCUAGCUUUGAUAGUAGUGAUCAAAGUAGGAGUCCGCGAAAAUAUUCGCAGACUCUAUCAAGAACAACUAGUAUGAGAAGUGUGAAGAUUUUGAUAAACAAAGCUAGUUUUAAAUCUAAAAAGGGUACCUCAAAAUGCUGUCAAAUUCCUGAUAAGGCGACGUGUUCUUCGACUAUUAAGGAUUCUAAGUUUAAGGAACAUGUUGAGUUUCAUCCUGGAAAAACUGAAUCUGAUAGGUUGUCUAAGUUCAAAGUUUGUUCAUAUCAUCAUUGUUCUCUCCAUGGAGGACACUAUGAUGAUCCUUCACCCCCGGUGAAACGCGUAUAUAGGAGGAAAAGAUUGUUGAAAUCACAAAAGAGCAUUAGAGCAAAAAGAGAGUUUAGUACUGCUGAUGAAAAUACUCAAUUGAGCUCCAGUGUUGAUCCUUCAGUUUGUGGACAAAGCAGUGCUGCAGAAGAUGCUGGUGGUUUCGAUGUAAACGAGGCUAUUGAACAUGCUGAUCUUGUUGAGAUUGACUUUGGUGAACAACAAAGCAGUGGAACAGAAGAUGCUGGUGUUUUCGAUGUAAACGAGGCUAUUGCAUAUGCUGAAAUUGACUUUGGUGAAACAUCAUUUCCGGAGCAAAGUUACAAGGAGACACUCAACAUAAUGAGCAAACACUCUGCACUAGAGAAGGACAGCCUACUUACUGCUUCAGAGUGUUGCAAUUGUAUGGCACGAGGGCGGAGUGACUCAAAAGAUGACAGUGUUACAGAAUCAGCUGCAUUCAGUCUCGUGCAGGAAAGGGAUCGUUCACAUCUCCUAAAGCAAGAUGAUGGUGUCUCUACAUCUGAUGGGGAUGAAAGUAGUAAACGAGAACUGUCUAAAGAUGCACCAUUUACCAUGACAACGAGAUCGGUGUUUGAUCUUUUUAAUGGAGCAAAAUAUAGCAAUGUUACAGAAUCAGCUGCUAAAUCUGAUAACAAUGAAAGUAACAACAGAGAACCGUCUAAAGAUGGACCAUUCACCAUCACAACGAGACCGGUGUUUGAUAUUUUUUAUGGAGCAAAAUGUAGCAAUGAAAUCUCUUCUGUUUCAGCUAGCAAUAUGCAGGAGAAGGAUGGUAAAGCUGAUCCGAAUGAGGACCUUGAUAGCACAUCAGGUCCAGUUGGUGAUUCAAAAUCCCAGAAUUGUCCUCCAGCUGAAGUUGCCAGACCCAAAAAGAAGUAUAUGAACAUGUGGAGUCUGAUUCGUAGGCAUAUGGUCUCGGACUCAUCUGCUGAACCUGAGACCAAACCAGCUAGUGGCGCUAACGACGAAGAAAAUCAACAGGAUGGUGCUAGCAAAUUGCCUUCAGCAGGAAGUUCUGACUCAUGUUCAGAUUUUGCUGAAAGAGAAAUGAUACCUGCAAAUGAGGAUGCAGAAAGUCAAGAAAUUGAAUUGAGGAAGCUUUUCACCAUCAAACUCGUACGAGAAGCAAUCGAGAAGAUUCUUCUUCCAGAAGUUCAAUCUGAUAACCAAUCAGUUACAAGUGAGUCCAGUGUAGACCAAGAAUCCUUUGAAAUGAAUCAAAUCCAAGACAGCAAGAAUGAGGAGGUAGAUGCAGGAUCCAUGGCAAAAACUGUGAACACAAAAGACGUUGGCGGCUCAAAGAAGGAGAUAACACCAAAAGAAGUGAAAAACAAAUCUGAGAAGAGAGCACCAAAACACUGGAGCAAUCUUAAAAAAUGGAUACUUCUCCAACGAUUCGUCAAGGAAUUGGAAAAGGUUAGAAAGAUCAAUCCAAGGAAGCCGCAGUUUUUGCAGUUGAAUCCUGAUCCUGAAGCAGAAAAGGUGAAUUUAAGAACUCAAACAGCUGAUGAGAGGAAAAGAGGAGAAGAAUGGAUGCUUGACUAUGCGCUUCAGCAGGCGAUAAGUCAACUUGCUCCAACUCAGCAAAGGAAAGUGGAACUUCUUAUAAAAGCAUUUGAAACUGUGGUUCCACCACAAGGCGACAAUAGCCAGAUUGCAUUUUCUAAGCCCAGAGCUAGAAAGGAGAAUGAAUUCAUGUCUACAGCAGGCAAUUCGGGGCGUAAGGCAGAGAAAGUUAUUGCAGGCAUAGACAGAAAGCUUGAAGAAAAUGACUGCUCUAUGUACAAAGAUGAUGAUGUUCGACAGUCUAUGCUUAGGAAGAAGUCGGAUGAAGUGACAAGCGCUUCAAAUGAUGAGGAUUUGGUGGAAGGAAAAGCUCGGAAAGAAGAUCGGGAAGAUAGUUCAAAUGAUUCUAUGAAAGAAACCUCAGAUGCAGUUGAUGGAGCACGAGAAGAUGUGGGGUCAGUUGUGAGAGACAGGAAGUUGGAGCUUGAGAAUCAUGAUGGCGUUACUAGUGAAACAUCCGAUACAACGCAGAGCUCAAUUGCAGCUGGCGACCAAAAUUCACUCACUGCAGUGAGCAUCCACAGUUCAACUUCAGCAUCUGAUGCAACAAUGCAAGAAAAUGUAACUAUGGAAGAGACAUCAAAAGAAUGUGAGAAAACACGUAAACCUCUUCGUGGAUUUUCUCUCUUAUUAUCAAUGUCUGAUCCCAAAGAAGAUGAUGGAGCAUCCAAGGGGCAGACGGACAAACGGAGUUACAUCAGCAUGUGGCACAUGAUAUCACAACAUGUGCUAUCAGACGUUGCAUCAAAAGUUGGAAAUGAACUACUUGAUGGAACUGAUGAUGAGGUAGAAGACAGCAGUAGUACACCAUCUGAAAGGAAAACGUGCAACUCUCUUGAGGAUUUCUCUGAGACAAACAGGGAAGAUCAUAAUCCAAGCCACCACGGGAGAAGUUUCUGCAGAGACGAUGCUGUCAAACUCAUACGAGAGGCAGUUAACGAGAUCCUUACAACGCCAAUUCAAGAUGAUUCAUCGGAUACACAGUCAGUCACCAGUGACAUAAUCCCGGACCAGGAACUCUCAGAAGCUGAUGGUGAAGCGAAUACUCGCUCAAAUUCUACAGAAAGCUUGACAAAUCUUGACACGACUGAAGGUGGAAAAAUGUUGGAUCAAGAAACGAAGGAUCCAAAAGAAGAGAGAGCACUUCUACUAGCCAAGAACAAACCUGAGACACAAAAGUCCAAGAACUGGAGCAAGCUGAAGAAGUUGAUCCUCCUCAAGAGAUCAAUCAAGGCACUUGAAAAAGCAAGGAAAUUCAACCCACGAGCGCCUCAAUUUUUGCCCCUAACACCUGAUCAAGAACCAGAAAAAGUGGAUUUGAGGCAUCAAAUGACUGAUGAAAGGAAAAAAGCAGAAAAAUGGAUGCUUGAUUAUGCAAUGCAGCAUAUAGUUACCACGCUAACUCCUGCUAGGAAAAAAAGAGUGGCAAUGCUCGUGGAAGCAUUCGAAGCAGUUGUUCCUCUUCCAGAAGUAUAACCAAGUCAGAUUGGUGGCAAAUUCUUUGACUACUUGUAAGAAUUAUGAAGGUUAUACAGAGGCAAUUUCAGAAAGUUGAUCGUGUGGGAUAUAUGGUCGUCGACUUGUGGUGUAUUUGCACUAGGUUUCUGCUUUUUUUUGAGCAGCAAUUGGUAGAUUAGCUACUUGAUGUAAGGGUGCAUAUGAGAUUUUGUACAAAAGUAGAUAGGCUCUAUUAUACUUUCUGCUACAGAGUGUAUUCUACAUGCUAUUGUAACAAUUAUAUGAUAAGCUCUGAGAAUGAUCAUGUAUGUAUUUAAAUAGCAUAUUUUCAUG